UAGGGAAUCUUCCACAAUGGACGCAAGUCUGAUGGAGCAACGCCGCGUGAGUGAAGAAGGCUUUCGGGUCGUAAAACUCUGUUAUUGAAGAAGAACGUGCGUGACAGUAACUGGUCAUGCAGUGACGGUAUUCAAUCAGAAAGUCACGGCUAACUACGUGCCAGCAGCCGCGGUAAUACGUAGGUGGCAAGCGUUGUCCGGAUUUAUUGGGCGUAAAGCGAGUGCAGGCGGUCUUUUAAGUCUGAUGUGAAAGCCUUCGGCUUAACCGAAGAAGGGCAUCGGAAACUGGGAGACUUGAGUGCAGAAGAGGAGAGUGGAACUCCAUGUGUAGCGGUGAAAUGCGUAGAUAUAUGGAAGAACACCAGUGGCGAAGGCGGCUCUCUGGUCUGUAACUGACGCUGAGGCUCGAAAGCGUGGGUAGCAAACAGGAUUAGAUACCCUGGUAGUCCACGC
rnacentral:rRNA from 1 species